rnacentral:rRNA from 1 species
GAUGAACGCUGGCGGCGUGCCUAAUACAUGCCAGUCGAGCGAACAGAUGAGUAGCUUUCUCCUCUGACGGUAGCGGCGGACGGGGGAGUAACACGUGGAUAACCUACCUAUAAGACUGGGAUAACUUCGGGAAACCGGAGCUAAUACCGGAUAAUAUAUUGAACCGCAUGGUUCAAUAGUGAAAGACGGUUUUGCUUUCACUGAUAGAUGGAUCCGCGCCGCAUUAGCUAGUUGGUAGGGUAACGGCUUACCAAGGCGACGAUGGGUAGCCGCCCUGAGAGGGUGAUCGGCGGCCCUGCAACUGCGACACGGUCCAGCCUCCUACGGGAGGCAGCAGUAGGGAAUAUUCGGGAAUGGGCGGCAGACUGACGGAGCAGCGCCGCGUGAGUGGUGAAGGUCUUCGGAGCGUAAAACUCUGUUAUUGGGGAAGAACAAAGGUGUACGUGACUGUGCACGUCUUGACGGUACCUAAUCAGAAAGCGACGGCUAACUACGUG